AUACCUUGUGCAUGAGGCAGUUGUGUAAGUUGGUACAGUUAUGUCAGUUAAUAACAGACUUUUUGUGUCAGAGACACUGAGCAGUAGGCCUGUUCAGUUCUGCUGCAGUCUGCCUCAAAGUUUGUUGGUCUGUAUGAGUUUUAGUCUUAGUGGUAAGCGAAGAGGGGGCUUGGAGGGGCAUUUCUCCCUCUCUCCAGCUUGAGCUCCUGCACUUCUUUGGAGAAGAAUAUCAGAUAAACCCUAUGACUACUGAGACACCUUUCCAGGAACCAGUGGAUUACACCCUAAAUUAUGUUUAUUUAGAUUAUUUCAAAUUAAAUGCAUCAAUAUUGCCUUGGCUUGAAAUAUCCAUUGAUGUGAACUAAGUGAAACUAGUUUAAGAAUGCAUCUAACCCAUUGCUUCUAAUGAGACAGUCAUCUAAAUAUAUCCUGCUGCUGCUGCUGCUGUUGUUGGUAGUAGCAGUAGUAGCAGUGGUAUUAGUAGUAGUAAUUAAAUUUGUAUACUGCCCUUCAUCUGAAGAUGCUAUCAUUAUUUUCCCCUGGUAAAUGAAACAUUCAUUUAAACCAAAGUAGUGGCUGUGGACAAAAAUAAUCCAUAUUAACAAUGCAUACCCUUAAUCCACACAUUUUCUGUGCUUUUCAUAUCAUAUAUGUGUUUGCUUUUAGUUCACCUAUGCCUGUCUUGACUCAAGGGUGACUGAAAGAAGACAGUACCAUUCCCUGUACCAGAUGGUCCCUAAUGAUGUUCAUGAGUACAAUGGGUUGCUCAAGUUACUUUUGCAUUUCAAAUGGACAUGGAUUGGUCUCUUUACUAUGAAAUACAUUACUGGAGAAAUUUUUUUGGAAGCAUUAGUUCCCCAGCUUACCCUGAAUUACAUCUGUGUUGAUUUUAUACGUAGAAUAUGGACAUUGGCUUAUGCUGAAGGAAUGAC